rnacentral:lncRNA from 1 species
AUUAAAAAAUGUAUUCAAACGCAUCCUAAAUUAUAUCAAAUUUCUAUUAGGUCCAUCGUGAUUCGUGGUAUGGGUGGAUUCAACGCAGAGAACACACUGGGUUUUUGGAGAAAACAAUAAUGAAUGGACCUCUUAAAGACGUGGCGCAGCCGCAUGGAAUUCUUUGAGUGGCUGUUCCAUGCAGGUUCCAUCACUUUAAAAAUGAACACAGCUUCGAUGAUGCCACUUAGGUGCACCACAUCUAUAAUUGGCACUAUUGGUCAGACAAACCAAAUUUGGCCAAUCCAGUGGGAGCGUUGUGC